rnacentral:rRNA from 1 species
GACGAACGCUGGCGGCGUGCUUAAUACAUGCAAGUCGAACGGGCCUGUCUUCUUUUUUGGGGGUGGGUUGAGUGGCGAACGGGUGAGUAUCACGUGAGUAACCUGCCCUUCGGUCCUGGAUAACCGCUUGAAAGGGCGGCUAAUACGGGGUGGUCCGGUUGGUCCGCAUGGGCUGGUCGGGAUAGAUUCACUGUUUUUGGUGUUUCGGCGGGGGAUGGGCUCGCGGCCUAUCAGCUUGUUGGUGGGGUGAUGGCCUACCAAGGCGGUGACGGGUAGCCGGCCUGAGAGGGUGGGCGGCCACACUGGGACUGAGAUACGGCCCAGACUCCUGCGGGAGGCAGCAGUGGGGGGUAUUGCACAAUGGGCGGAAGCCUGAUGCAGCGACGUCGCGUGAGGGAUGGAGGCCUUCGGGUUGUGAACCUCUGUUUCCGGUGGUGAAGGCCCUGUCCGUGUGGUGGGGUUGACGGUAGCCGGGGAUGAAGCGCCGGCUAACUACGUG